ACCCGCACAAGCGGUGGAUGAUGUGGUUUAAUUCGAUGCAACGCGAAAAACCUUACCCACCUUUGACAUGUACGGAAUCCUUUAGAGAUAGAGGAGUGCUCGAAAGAGAGCCGUAACACAGGUGCUGCAUGGCUGUCGUCAGCUCGUGUCGUGAGAUGUUGGGUUAAGUCCCGCAACGAGCGCAACCCUUGUCAUUAGUUGCUACAUUCAGUUGGGCACUCUAAUGAGACUGCCGGUGACAAACCGGAGGAAGGUGGGGAUGACGUCAAGUCCUCAUGGCCCUUAUAGGUGGGGCUACACACGUCAUACAAUGGAUGGUACAAAGGGUCGCCAACCCGCGAGGGGGAGCCAAUCCCAUAAAGCCAUUCGUAGUCCGGAUCGCAGUCUGCAACUCGACUGCGUGAAGUCGGAAUCGCUAGUAAUCGUGGAUCAGAAUGUCACGGUGAAUACGUUCCCGGGUCUU
rnacentral:rRNA from 1 species